rnacentral:rRNA from 1 species
ACACGUAGGGCGCAAGCGUUGUCCGGAUUUAUUGGGCGUAAAGAGCUCGUAGGCGGUUUGGUUAGUCGGGUGUGAAAGCUCAGGGCUUAACCCUGAGAUGCCACUCGAUACUGCCAUGACUUGAGUCCGGUAGAGGAGCAUGGAAUUCCUGGUGUAGCGGUGAAAUGCGCAGAUAUCAGGAGGAACACCAGUAGCGAAGGCGGUGCUCUGGGCCGGUACUGACGCUAAGGAGCGAAAGCGUGGGGAGCAAACAGGAUUAGAAACCCCAGUAGUCC